AACUACACGUAGACAGGUCAUUUCGCCAUUACGUUUUUGUUAUAAAAAUAUUAUAAGCCCAAUGUUCGGUUAGAUUAGUUACCAUAGUUUAAUUAUACUUUGGAUUUCACAUAUCACGUACCUAUCACAGAAGAUCCUAUUUUAUUGUCGAGCGUUUAACAGUAACGGGAGUCAACUAAAUUAAAUACAUCGGUAUUAUAUUGUAUGAAUACAUCAACAUUCAUCAACUCAACAAUCAAAUGUAUACCUCGUGGGAUUAGGUGCAUCAAAUUACAAACGACUAAAAAGGUAGAAAAAAUCACAAACAAAAAAUUCUUUACAGGUUUUAGAUUUUUGGAUUUUACGAAAAGUUUGAAAAUUGGACAUAGGACCUUAUAUUUCUGAGAAUUACAAGCAGAUGAUAAAUUAUAUAUAAUCUUACUAUUGUACAAAAAAAUGUACAAAACAUAUUUUCGUCAAAUAAUUAACAUAGCAACAAACCAAUAUUAAAAGUUUUAUUGUACAUUUUAAGACUAGAAAGAGAUACAUCAGAUGAAGAUUGCACGCUAUGAAAAAAAAAUCAAAAAAAGAAACAAAAAUUAGAAAACAACCAACAGAUGAGUCUGAAUAUUCAGAUAUCGAUGAUACAACAGAAAAAUAGAGUUUACUUAUUUAUUAAUAUUUUUAAAUUUCUGGUAAUAUUAUUUUUCCAAAUAACAAUAAAAUAACCAAGAUUAGUUUUAUUAAAAAUUACUACAAAUAUUGUUACCUACUUUUAUUUUUGGAAAUCUUCCGUUACAACUUUACGUCUUAUAGAGAAUUUACUAACAUCUCUAAAAUAUUGAUAUUGUAAACCAAUACAUCAGAAUAAUGGUAUUGGUAUAUUAUUAUGUACUUCUGUGAAUUAAAAACAUUAUAAGAAAGUAUUCAAGCUUAUUUUUUUUUCAUUAUUAUUAUUUAUAAUUAAUAUCCAGAGCAGAUUACUGAACCUCAACCUCACUGAGAUAACUUGUAUGGUGGUUAUUUACCAUUCAGUGAAGAAGAUAAUUAACUAUUGUAUUACUUAUCUUCUUAUUGAUUUACAUUUUUUUUAAAUAUAUAAUUAAUAAUUAUCAUAUACCAAGUAUUUAAGUUAAGAAAAAAAAUUUAAAAAUUGUUAUUAAACAAUUGAUUAUUUACAUAUGUUGGUUCUUUUAGUUACACUUUAUAUUUAUUAUAGUUAAGUAGUAGUUUAGAUAUAGUACUACUUGCUGCU